AUUGAACGCUGGCGGCAGGCCUAACACAUGCAAGUCGAGCGGAGCGGCGGACGGGUGAGUAAUGUCUGGGAAACUGCCUGGGAGUGGGGGAUAACGUCCGGGAACGGGGGCUAAUACCGCAUACUCUCAGGUAUGCCUCGGUCGGAGUAGCUAGUUGGGGGGGUAAAGGCCUACCAAGGCGACGAGCCGGAACUGGUCUGAGAGGAUGAUCAGUCACACUGGAACUGAGACACGGUCCAGACUCCUACGGGAGGCAGCAGUGGGGAAUAUUGGACAAUGGGCGAAAGCCUGAUGCAGCCAUGCCGCGUGUGUGAAGAAGGUCUUAGGAUUGUAAAGCACUUUAAGUUGGGAGGCGUUACCAACAGAAUAAGCACCGGCUAACUCCGUGCCAGCCGCCGCGGUAAUUC
rnacentral:rRNA from 1 species